CAGGGAAUAGUUUAAUAAAAAUUUUAAUUUUGGAGAUUAGCGAUAGGGUUUAAUUCCUUUUCCUUGA
rnacentral:tRNA from 1 species